rnacentral:lncRNA from 1 species
CUUAGCUACAAGAUCGCUCAUUUGCUAGAUUUUUGUUUCUUAGUUUAAAAGGAGGCCAAGAAAGCCACCAACAUUUAUUAGAAGGAAAAAGAAUUUAUAAGAGAAACAAUCAUCCUAGGUAGGGGGCACACAAAAAUAAUAUAAAUUAUGGAAUCAUUCAUACAAAAGGGAGAACAUAGUUGAUAGGAAGGAGAAGAAUAAAAAUAGCAAAACUAAACAACAAAGAAAAACUAGUCAAUCGGCCCACAAGGAUCAUCUUCAGAAGAUUUCUUUAACAAGCCAAAUAUUUUCUCGACAGAUAUUGAAAUAUAGGCCCAACUAUGGUCUAUCACAAGGAUUUGAGGCAUAAAUCAAUAGUUUUGGUGGAUGGCAAGCUAGCAUAAGAGUUCUCCCCAUUUCUAAUUGUCAGAUUUUCAUAGUUGUCGUGUAUGUUUUUCUCUUCUUUUUUUUUUUUGAGCUCCCAAAAACCCAAUGUAUUACCAAACAAAAAAAAAAAAGAGUCUCCACUUCAUCAUCAAUAAGGAAGUGCUUGGAGGCUCCCCUCUUCCUAUAAUAUUUCUUAGCCAUGUAUGAAGUAUGCAUAUGGUCCACACAAUAUAUAUUUUUCCAUUUAAUCAACAAUCACUAUAAAAGCAAGUAGAAAAAAAUAACAUUUAGAUCAUAAAAAAAAAGAAUGGGAUUCAUAACAAAAGGCUUCAAACUCAAACAAAAAAAAAGAGGAAAAAAUGGCUAACAAAUCUUACCAAUGGUAGUAGGCUUGAGGAGAAGAGGAACGGCAAGGAAGAGAUAGGAAAGA